rnacentral:tRNA from 1 species
GUUAUUGUAGCUUACAAUAAAGCACAGCACUGAAAAUGCCAAGACGGAGCCCUCCCAAAUAACA